GUAUGAGGACUAAGACAGCAGGACGACUAUGGACAGAAAACGGUUUUCUAGGUUUGCACAGGGCAGCCUCCUGCUCUCGGUAGUUGACAAGCCAGUGGAGGCUUCACAGCUGACUUUGAGGCCGUUUGCACAGAAGCCUGGAAGUCUGGAAGCUGCACCCAGUGUGUCAUUCAUCUGGGAGGUACCACAACCCUACUCCAAAGUGAAAGUACUACCUGCCACCUCUGCCUCAGCUUACUCUCAUGUGGACUCAUAAGAAUUCAAAGAGCCUUUACUCUCCGUGCACCCUAGGAAGACAGCAGUGCGCAGUCUUGAGGAGGUGAAGGAUUCAGACACCAGGAUUUCACGCAGCUCAGGUCGGCCUCCAAGGAUGGUGCAGCCGAAGGCCACACUGAACUCUGACCCUCCUGUCCUGCUCACCAGGUGCUACAACUGCUGUCAUGCGUCACCGACUCCAGCUUGAACUCAGCCGACCGAGGUGAUGCACAUCUUUAAUCCCAGCACCCAGUGGGCAGAGGCAGGAGUAUCUCUAGUUCAAAGCCAGCUUGCCCUAUCUACAUGGUGAGUUUCAGGACAGCCGAGGCUAUGUAGGGAGACCCUGUCUCAAAGAGCCAACAACAGAAACUUAAACUUGAGGACAGCAUUGUAAUGGCCCAAGUUCAGAAUAUGGUUUUUAAAUAAAAACUGUUUGUACAGAAUUUGCAUUUUUAUGGAAGUGUUUGUGUUGGUGUGUGCACAUG